CUAAAACCAAGAGGAACACAAGAGCCAGGAAAGUGGGGUCCUGUUCUCAGCUCUACCACUUAGAAAAGGGCAGCCAGUAAGAAAUUUUCCCCUAAGUUGAAAAUGGUGGUUUGAACUAAAUUUCUUUUCCUGCUUUCAAAUGGAUGUUCUGGAGGCUGAGAAAAUUAGGACAAAAAUUCAGGGUUCUCAGAUCAGAGAAAAAGAACAAAACCAACAACAAAAAACUCAAAACUUGGCCUGGCCACCAUGGAGCACGCUUCCAGGUUCCUGAUCCAGUCUCUUGAAUCCUGCCUCAGUUGGCCUCCUGCAUAAUCUGCCUGGCUCAUUCCUGCCACCCAGCCCGUAACUUCCACUGGAUCCUUACUCUUGCCUGUGUCUGGCCUCUGAUGGACUUACCUGGUGUCGACUCAUGACCUAUUUCUGAUGUUACCCAAAUGAGGCAUAUUACUACUGAGGAUAUCUAGUCUGAUUUAUUGCAGAUCACUGACUAAACUUUGAGCAUUGGAUUAAAGUUCCAUCUUCC
rnacentral:lncRNA from 1 species